UACGUAGGGUGCAAGCGUUAAUCGGAAUUACUGGGCGUAAAGCGUGCGCAGGCGGUUUUGUAAGUCUGUCGUGAAAGCCCCGGGCUCAACCUGGGAAUUGCGAUGGAGACUGCAAGGCUUGAAUCUGGCAGAGGGGGGUAGAAUUCCACGUGUAGCAGUGAAAUGCGUAGAGAUGUGGAGGAACACCGAUGGCGAAGGCAGCCCCCUGGGUCAAGAUUGACGAUCAUGCACGAAAGCGUGGGGAGCAAACAGG
rnacentral:rRNA from 1 species